rnacentral:lncRNA from 1 species
AGAGAAGCUACGGGCAACAAGGGAAAGAAAAAAAAGAAAAAAGGAACCGAGAGAGAGGGAAGAGAGGAUCUGGGGAGGGCAAGAAAGCGCGAGAGACUGCAGAGGGGUUGAGGAAAAAUCUGGAAUAGAAAGGGAAGAGCUAGAGAGGCUUCGCGAAAAAGAGGGUUUCAGGAACGAAGGAGAAAAGGAAGAGGAAGAGGAAAAAAGGAAAGGAGAAAAGAAAGAAAGGAGGAGGGGGAAAUCUGGGGAAGAUCAGAGGGGAAAAACAGGAAGAAAAACAAGAGGCAAAAGAAAGAAAAACAAGAGGAAAUCAGCGAAGGAAGAAAAAAAAAAAUUUUUCUGCUGGAAAGCUUCAAUCAGGUUGGUCAACCAGCUGCCUUCCAGAUCAAUUUCCGACUUGAUUUUUGGUUGUUUCAGCGAGUUCUUUUUUUGUUUUUUUUUUCUGCACCAUCUCUGUAUACCCAUGAAUAAUUUUUGUUCAGGAAUCGUUCAGCAAAAACGUCUCCAACCCUCUCAAAUCGUGGCCCAAAGUGCUGACCUUCUUGUCACCGCUGAAUUUUCUGCAACAAGGGUUGACUUCCAGAUUCUAGCUUUAAUUUUACUUUCCUCGAACUUCCUGCGGUUGUUUGACAUACUCACACACCAAAGGUAACUCUUAAUCCCUCCUUUGCUUGUUGCAAUCCACAAAAGGAAAAAUCUCUAACUCAUCAAAAGAGAACUUUUUUCAGAUUAUGCUUUCAUGAGCUUAUGGUGUGGGUUCUAUGGUUUUGUUGGGUCUGAUGUAUCUUGUGUGACUAAAAAGGAUAAGAUUUGGAAAUUAAUGUAAAUGCUUGUCCUUGAUUAUCUUUGCAAGCCUUGCAGUUCAUAAGUAAAGUUAUGUCUCGGGGAUUUAUCUGGAGUCCAUGAAUGAGAGUCGUUUGCUUCCGUUUGUGAAUGAAUCUGGAGUAGGGUAGCUUUGAGCCAUGGAAACUUGUGUUUUCUUAUAUCAUUUGCCCUCGUUGUAAAAAGGAGGAGAACAAUGCAUGAGAAUGGUUUGAUUAGAUUUUUUUCUAGCUGCGUAUAUUUGCUACUAUUCGUUCCCUUCCUUUUGUUUCUUCUUUGGUCAUAGAAUUUGUUUCCUCCGAAAAAGGUUGAGGAGCCCAGUGACAUUUGAUAUUUUUUGCUAGGAAGAUGAGAAAGAUUUUGACUUUGGGCUGUUCAUUUAAAAUCAUGUUUUGAUUUCUUCCUUUUUCAUGGUACAACAACCGCUUGGAUGGAAACCCAUGAAUUUGCAGAAGAAAGAAACCAGCGAAGAAGAAGAAAGCUUCGUGGCUUUGCAUGGGAUUUUCCAAAAAAAUUGCACUUUAACCCUUAGUUUUUUAAAUAAUUCAGAUAUGGCCCAAAAAAUUGGAAAAAUCAAUCAAAUCUUGUCCCUUAAAAUGUUAAUUUCUUUGGCAUGCUUUAAUGUGAUUUUUGGACAGAUUAUUCAUAAGUUUUAGGAGGGAAUUUGAGGUUUAAUAAUUUUGAUUGAUUUAAUAGUUUUAUUGGAUUUUAACAAAAGUUUAGAGAUUUGGGUGAUAUUUUAUUUUGGGUUUAGCAAGUGUAGCAAAUGGGUUUUGAUUUAUUUUUGUGGAUUUUAGCAUUGGAUUUGGUAGGCUUUAUCUUUGAGCCCUUAAUUUUAUUUCUCUUUAAUUUUGACCCCAAAGUUUUGUAAUAAUAAUUUAGCCCCUAAAAUUUUCUCAAUAUUUGCAAUUAAGUCCUUGUUUGUUUGAUUUCUUAGAUAGAAGUUACUUUUAUUUUUUAAUUGUUAGUUAUAUUCCAUUUGAAUGCCUAAAUUGAUAGAUUUUAUAUUUAUUUUCAUUUCCUUAUGAUUUAUUUGUUAAUUAAAUUGGUGCCUUGAUGUUUUUUGUUAAUUUUGGAGUUAAAUAGGGCAAAUCCACACCCCAAUUAGCUACUACAUCAAGGGAGGUAUCUUUUUGUGUUAUUUUAAAUCCUCCUAUGUGCUUCUAUAUGAUUUUAUAUGUGUAAUUGCAUGUUUUUUAUUUUAUUUAUUUAUUCAAUUUAUUUGUUUUUAAUUUUGUAUAUUUUUUUAAUUUAAUUUUUGAUUAUUUGAGAGGCAUUUAAAUACCAAAUUGUAAUAGAUAGGGGUUCAAAACAUGUAUUUAGAUAGAUUAUG